rnacentral:rRNA from 1 species
GGGUUGUGAGGUUAAGCGACUAAGCGUACACGGUGGAUGCCCUGGCAGUCAGAGGCGAUGAAGGACGUGCUAAUCUGCGAUAAGCGUCGGUAAGGUGAUAUGAACCGUUAUAACCGGCGAUUUCCGAAUGGGGAAACCCAGUGUGUUUCGACACACUAUCAUUAACUGAAUCCAUAGGUUAAUGAGGCGAACCGGGGGAACUGAAACAUCUAAGUACCCCGAGGAAAAGAAAUCAACCGAGAUUCCCCCAGUAGCGGCGAGCGAACGGGGAGGAGCCCAGAGCCUGAAUCAGUGUGUGUGUUAGUGGAAGCGUCUGGAAAGGCGCGCGAUACAGGGUGACAGCCCCGUACACAAAAAUGCACAUGCUGUGAGCUCGAUGAGUAGGGCGGGACACGUGGUAUCCUGUCUGAAUAUGGGGGGACCAUCCUCCAAGGCUAAAUACUCCUGACUGACCGAUAGUGAACCAGUACCGUGAGGGAAAGGCGAAAAGAACCCCGGCGAGGGGAGUGAAAAAGAACCUGAAACCGUGUACGUACAAGCAGUGGGAGCACGCUUAGGCGUGUGACUGCGUACCUUUUGUAUAAUGGGUCAGCGACUUAUAUUCUGUAGCAAGGUUAACCGAAUAGGGGAGCCGAAGGGAAACCGAGUCUUAACUGGGCGUUAAGUUGCAGGGUAUAGACCCGAAACCCGGUGAUCUAGCCAUGGGCAGGUUGAAGGUUGGGUAACACUAACUGGAGGACCGAACCGACUAAUGUUGAAAAAUUAGCGGAUGACUUGUGGCUGGGGGUGAAAGGCCAAUCAAACCGGGAGAUAGCUGGUUCUCCCCGAAAGCUAUUUAGGUAGCGCCUCGUGAAUUCAUCUCCGGGGGUAGAGCACUGUUUCGGCAAGGGGGUCAUCCCGACUUACCAACCCGAUGCAAACUGCGAAUACCGGAGAAUGUUAUCACGGGAGACACACGGCGGGUGCUAACGUCCGUCGUGAAGAGGGAAACAACCCAGACCGCCAGCUAAGGUCCCAAAGUCAUGGUUAAGUGGGAAACGAUGUGGGAAGGCCCAGACAGCCAGGAUGUUGGCUUAGAAGCAGCCAUCAUUUAAAGAAAGCGUAAUAGCUCACUGGUCGAGUCGGCCUGCGCGGAAGAUGUAACGGGGCUAAACCAUGCACCGAAGCUGCGGCAGCGACGCUUAUGCGUUGUUGGGUAGGGGAGCGUUCUGUAAGCCUGUGAAGGUGUGCUGUGAGGCAUGCUGGAGGUAUCAGAAGUGCGAAUGCUGACAUAAGUAACGAUAAAGCGGGUGAAAAGCCCGCUCGCCGGAAGACCAAGGGUUCCUGUCCAACGUUAAUCGGGGCAGGGUGAGUCGACCCCUAAGGCGAGGCCGAAAGGCGUAGUCGAUGGGAAACAGGUUAAUAUUCCUGUACUUGGUGUUACUGCGAAGGGGGGACGGAGAAGGCUAUGUUGGCCGGGCGACGGUUGUCCCGGUUUAAGCGUGUAGGCUGGUUUUCCAGGCAAAUCCGGAAAAUCAAGGCUGAGGCGUGAUGACGAGGCACUACGGUGCUGAAGCAACAAAUGCCCUGCUUCCAGGAAAAGCCUCUAAGCAUCAGGUAACAUCAAAUCGUACCCCAAACCGACACAGGUGGUCAGGUAGAGAAUACCAAGGCGCUUGAGAGAACUCGGGUGAAGGAACUAGGCAAAAUGGUGCCGUAACUUCGGGAGAAGGCACGCUGAUAUGUAGGUGAAGUCCCUCGCGGAUGGAGCUGAAAUCAGUCGAAGAUACCAGCUGGCUGCAACUGUUUAUUAAAAACACAGCACUGUGCAAACACGAAAGUGGACGUAUACGGUGUGACGCCUGCCCGGUGCCGGAAGGUUAAUUGAUGGGGUCAGCGUAAGCGAAGCUCUUGAUCGAAGCCCCGGUAAACGGCGGCCGUAACUAUAACGGUCCUAAGGUAGCGAAAUUCCUUGUCGGGUAAGUUCCGACCUGCACGAAUGGCGUAAUGAUGGCCAGGCUGUCUCCACCCGAGACUCAGUGAAAUUGAACUCGCUGUGAAGAUGCAGUGUACCCGCGGCAAGACGGAAAGACCCCGUGAACCUUUACUAUAGCUUGACACUGAACAUUGAGCCUUGAUGUGUAGGAUAGGUGGGAGGCUUAGAAGUGUGGACGCCAGUCUGCAUGGAGCCGACCUUGAAAUACCACCCUUUAAUGUUUGAUGUUCUAACGUUGACCCGUAAUCCGGGUUGCGGACAGUGUCUGGUGGGUAGUUUGACUGGGGCGGUCUCCUCCUAAAGAGUAACGGAGGAGCACGAAGGUUGGCUAAUCCUGGUCGGACAUCAGGAGGUUAGUGCAAUGGCAUAAGCCAGCUUGACUGCGAGCGUGACGGCGCGAGCAGGUGCGAAAGCAGGUCAUAGUGAUCCGGUGGUUCUGAAUGGAAGGGCCAUCGCUCAACGGAUAAAAGGUACUCCGGGGAUAACAGGCUGAUACCGCCCAAGAGUUCAUAUCGACGGCGGUGUUUGGCACCUCGAUGUCGGCUCAUCACAUCCUGGGGCUGAAGUAGGUCCCAAGGGUAUGGCUGUUCGCCAUUUAAAGUGGUACGCGAGCUGGGUUUAGAACGUCGUGAGACAGUUCGGUCCCUAUCUGCCGUGGGCGCUGGAGAACUGAGGGGGGCUGCUCCUAGUACGAGAGGACCGGAGUGGACGCAUCACUGGUGUUCGGGUUGUCAUGCCAAUGGCACUGCCCGGUAGCUAAAUGCGGAAGAGAUAAGUGCUGAAAGCAUCUAAGCACGAAACUUGCCCCGAGAUGAGUUCUCCCUGACCCUUUAAGGGUCCUGAAGGAACGUUGAAGACGACGACGUUGAUAGGCCGGGUGUGUAAGCGCAGCGAUGCGUUGAGCUAACCGGUACUAAUGAACCGUGAGGCUUAACCUUACAACGCCGAAGGUGUUU